AGUUCACAUCGACGGGGAGGUUUGGCACCUCGAUGUCGGCUCAUCGCAUCCUGGGGCUGUAGUCGGUCCCAAGGGUUGGGCUGUUCGCCCAUUAAAGCGGUACGCGAGCUGGGUUCAGAACGUCGUGGGACAGUUCGGUCCCUAUCCGUCGUGGGCGUAGGAAAUUUGAGAGGAGCUGUCCUUAGUACGAGAGGACCGGGAUGGACAUACCUCUGGUGUACCAGUUGUCGUGCCAACGGCAUAGCUGGGUAGCUAUGUAUGGACGGGAUAAGUGCUGAAAGCAUCUAAGCAUGAAGCCCCCCUCAAGAUGAGAUUUCCCAACUUCGGUUAUAAGAUCCCUCGAAGAUGACGAGGUUAAUAGGUUCGAGGUGGAAGCGUGGUGACACGUGGAGCUGACGAAUACUAAUCGAUCGAAGACUUAAUCAAUUUUUAAA
rnacentral:rRNA from 1 species